rnacentral:rRNA from 1 species
GCGACGACGGGUAGCCGGCCUGAGAGGGCGACCGGCCACACUGGGACUGAGACACGGCCCAGACUCCUACGGGAGGCAGCAGUGGGGAAUAUUGCACAAUGGGCGAAAGCCUGAUGCAGCGACGCCGCGUGAGGGAUGACGGCCUUCGGGUUGUAAACCUCUUUCAGCAGGGAAGAAGCGCAAGUGACGGUACCUGCAGAAGAAGCGCCGGCUAACUACGUGCCAGCAGCCGCGGUAAUACGUAGGGCGCAAGCGUUGUCCGGAAUUAUUGGGCGUAAAGAGCUCGUAGGCGGCUUGUCACGUCGGAUGUGAAAGCCCGGGGCUUAACCCCGGGUCUGCAUUCGAUACGGGCUAGCUAGAGUGUGGUAGGGGAGAUCGGAAUUCCUGGUGUAGCGGUGAAAUGCGCAGAUAUCAGGAGGAACACCGGUGGCGAAGGCGGAUCUCUGGGCCAUUACUGACGCUGAGGAGCGAAAGCGUGGGGAGCGAACAGGAUUAGAUACCCUGGUAGUCCACGCCGUAAACGUUGGGAACUAGGUGUUGGCGACAUUCCACGUCGUCGGUGCCGCAGCUAACGCAUUAAGUUCCCCGCCUGA